GUUUGCAUAUCUGUCCUGCCUCUCUGCUCCCAGCCGUUAAGAGGCCAGUGUUGAUCAGUGGCUGUCCAGGCCUUUCAGAGCCACUGACACGCCGGCAGCACAAUCAUCAUGUCUCUGACUCUACUGCUGGCCACCCUGGGGCUCCUUGUUCAGGGUUCAUCAGGAGACAUCAUCCUGACUCAGUCUCCUGGAUCUCAGUCUGUUGUUCUGGGACAGACUGUCUCUAUCAGAUGUAAAACAAGUUCAGGUGUUGUUAGUGACCUCCACUGGUACCUUCAGAAACCUGGAGAAACUCCUAAACUCCUGAUAUAUAAAGAUGUAACCCGUUACUCUGGCGUUUCAGACCGUUUUACUGGAAGUAAAUCUAGUAACACUGACUUCACUCUGACCAUCAGUAGAGUUCAGGCUGAAGAUUCAGGAGUUUACUACUGUCAGCAGAGUGAGAGCCUCCCGUUCACACAGUGAUACAACGUCAUACAAAAACCUCCCUCAGC